rnacentral:lncRNA from 1 species
CCAGGUACACAUAUUAUUUUAAGACCAGAAGGAGAAAAAUAAUAAAGCUGGUAAAAGAAUGGUAAAAGAAAUAGAAUGGAAUCAACCAUCAAUGUCUUGGCAAGAUCCUCGGACUAAAGAAUGUGAAAUAGAUGUCCAAAUAUUAUACAUUUACAAAGCUAGCUAAUCAAAUGCCAGACACAUUUUCUGACCCGAAAAAGAAUGACUAAGUCAUAUAUACACCAAUUUGUAAAGCACCAACGAAUUUGAUGUCCAAGAAGAGACACAGUCAAGUUGCUACAGAGUCUAGAAAACGUAUGAAACGUGGUAGAACAAAUAGGUUCCAAAAGAUAAGAAUCCUCGGAAACAAAAGAAAGGUGCAGAAAAUGAUAAUCAAAAUCCAAAUCCGAGGUUACUAACGAAACCAUCCUAGACAUGGAGGUAAGGCUGGCCGGCUCUAAGGUACAUGUACCAAACAAUGUAGUUUGGGACGCCAAGCUGCAAAGUAUUAAGGGUCCUGAUAAUAAUGAAUCUCAAUCGAUUAUAUCAUGUCUGGAACA